AAGGAAUUUGUUUGGAUUUUUGCUUC
rnacentral:piRNA from 1 species